UCCGUAGGUGGCAAGCGUUGUCCGGAUUUACUGGGCGUAAAGGGCGUGCAGGCGGUUUGUUAAGUUCAGGGUGAAAGCUCCCGGCUCAACUGGGAGAGGUCCUUGGAUACUGGCAGACUUGAGGAGGGUAGAGGAGAGUGGAAUUCCCGGUGUAGUGGUGAUAUGCGUAGAUAUCGGGAGGAACACCAGUGGCGAAGGCGGCUCUCUGGGCCCUACCUGACGCUGAGACGCGAAAGCGUGGGGAGCGAACCGG
rnacentral:rRNA from 1 species